UACGAAGGGGGCAAGCGUUGUUCGGAAUCACUGGGCGUAAAGCGCACGUAGGCGGAUUGUUAAGUUAGGGGUGAAAUCCCGGGGCUCAACCUCGGAACUGCCUCUGAUACUGGCAAUCUUGAGUUCGGGAGAGGAGUGUGGAACUCCGAGUGUAGAGGUGAAAUUCGUAGAUAUUCGGAAGAACACCAGAGGCAGGAAGGCCGGACACUCCUGGCCCCGAUACUGACGCUGAGGUAGCGAAAAGCGUGGGGAGCAAACAGGAUUAGAUACCCGUGUACGUCCC
rnacentral:rRNA from 1 species